GAAGGCUGGGCUGUGAUGGGGAACGAUUACGAUCGGUAAGCUGCUGAAUUCACGCUGCGAGAAAAGCUGCUACGAAGCGAAGGCGCCCGUACCGCAAACCGACACAGGUAGGCGAGGAGAGAAUCCUAAGACGAGCGGGAGAACCCUUGUUAAGGAACUCGGCAAAAUGACUCCGUAACUUAGGGAGAAGGAGUGCCCAGGAAUGGGCCGCAGAGAAUAGACCCAAGCGACUGUUUACCAAAAACACAGGUCUGUGCGAAGUAGAGAUACGACGUAUACGGGCUGACACCUGCCCAGUGCCGGAAGGUUAAGGGGAAAUGUUAGGGCAACCGAAGCAUGGAACUUAAGCCCCGGUGAACGGCGGCCGUAACGAUAACGGUCCUAAGGUAGCGAAAUUCCUUGUCGGGUAAGUUCCGACCCGCACGAAUGGUGUAACGAUUUGGGUACUGUCUCAACAAGGGACCCGGCGAAAUUGUAGUAUGUGUGAAGAUGCACAUUACCCGCGAUAGGACGGAAAGACCCCGUAGAGCUUUACUGUAGUUUAACAUUGGAUUCCGGUAACAUAUGCACAGGAUAGGUGGGAGGCGGAGAAGCAGUGACUUCGGUUGCUGCAGAGCCGACGUUGGGAUACCACUCUUGUGCUACUGGGGUUCUAACCUGUGGCCGUGAUCCGGCACAGGAACAGUGUUAGAUGGGCAGUUUGACUGGGGCGGUCGCCUCCAAAAGAGUAACGGAGGCGUCCAAAGGUUCCCUCAGAAUGGUUGGAAACCAUUCGAAGAGUACAAAGGCAGAAGGGAGCCUGACUGCGAGACCGACAGGUCGAGCAGGGACGAAAGUCGGGCUUAGUGAUCCGGCGGUAUAGAGUGGAAUUGCCGUCGCUCAACGGAUAAAAGCUACCUCGGGAUAACAGGCUUAUCUCCCCCAAGAGUCCACAUCGACGGGGAGGUUUGGCACCUCGAUGUCGGCUCGUCGCAUCCUGGGGCUGGAUUAGGUCCCAAGGGUUUGGCUGUUCGCCAAUUAAAGCGGCACGCGGGCUGGGUUCAGAACGUCGUGAGACAGUUCGGUCCCUAUCCAUCGUGGGCGCAGGAGAUUUGAGAAGAGCUGUCCUCAGUACGAGAGGACCGGGAUGGACGCACCAAGGGUGUAUCAGUUGUCACGCCAGUGGCACAGCUGGGUAGCCAAGUGCGGAUCGGAUAAACGCUGAAGGCAUCUAAGCGUGAAGCCGACUUCAAGAUAAGAUCUCCCAUCCGCAAGGAGUAAGGCCCCAUGUAGACCACAUGGUUGAUAGGUCGCAGGUGGAAGUGCAGUAAUGUACGCAGCUGAGCGAUACUAAUAGGCCGAGGGCUUGAUC
rnacentral:rRNA from 1 species